GAUGAACGCUGGCGGCGUGCCUAACACAUGCAAGUCGAACGAAGCAUCGCGCCCGGGAAAGUGGAGUGCUUGCACAAAGCGGACCCAAUUGUGAUGACUUAGUGGCGGACGGGUGAGUAACGCGUGGGUAACCUGCCGUAUGCAGGGGGAUAACAGUUAGAAAUGACUGCUAAUACCGCAUAAGCGCACAGCUUCGCAUGGAGCAGUGUGAAAAGCCUUAACGGCAUACGAUGGACCCGCGUCUGAUUAGCCAGUUGGCAGGGUAACGGCCUACCAAAGCAACGAUCAGUAGCCGGCCUGAGAGGGUGAACGGCCACAUUGGGACUGAGACACGGCCCAAACUCCUACGGGAGGCAGCAGUGGGGGAUAUUGCACAAUGGGGGAAACCCUGAUGCAGCGACGCCGCGUGAGUGAAGAAGUAUUUCGGUAUGUAAAGCUCUAUCAGCAGGGAAGAAAAUGACGGUACCUGACUAAGAAGCUCCGGCUAAAUACGUGCCAGCAGCCGCGGUAAUACGUAUGGAGCAAGCGUUAUCCGGAUUUACUGGGUGUAAAGGGAGCGUAGACGGCAUGGCAAGUCUGAUGUGAAAGGUGCGGGCUCAACCCACAAACUGCAUUGGAAACUGUCUAGCUAGAGUGUCGGAGAGGUAAGUGGAAUUCCUAGUGUAGCGGUGAAAUGCGUAGAUAUUAGGAGGAACACCAGCGGCGAAGGCGGCUUACUGGACGAUAACUGACGUUGAGGCUCGAAAGCGUGGGGAGCAAACA
rnacentral:rRNA from 1 species